rnacentral:rRNA from 1 species
AGCGGCGGACGGGUGAGUGACGCGUGGGUAACCUGCCCUAUACACACGGAUAACAUACCGAAAGGUAUGCUAAUACGAGAUAAUAUGCUUUUAUCGCAUGGUAGAAGUAUCAAAGCUUUUGCGGUACAGGAUGGACCCGCGUCUGAUUAGCUAGUUGGUAAGGUAACGGCUUACCAAGGCGACGAUCAGUAGCCGACCUGAGAGGGUGAUCGGCCACAUUGGAACUGAGACACGGUCCAAACUCCUACGGGAGGCAGCAGUGGGGAAUAUUGCACAAUGGGCGAAAGUCUGAUGCAGCAACGCCGCGUGAGCGAUGAAGGCCUUCGGGUCGUAAAGUUCUGUCCUCAAGGAAGAUAAUGACGGUACUUGAGGAGGAAGCCCCGGCUAACUACGUGCCAGCAGCCGCGGUAAUACGUAGGGGGCUAGCGUUAUCCGGAUUUACUGGGCGCAAAGGGUGCGUAGGUGGUUUCUUAAGUCAGAGGUGAAAGGCUACGGCUCAACCGUAGUAAGCCUUUGAAACUGGGAAACUUGAGUGCAGGAGAGGAGAGUGGAAUUCCUAGUGUAGCGGUGAAAUGCGUAGAUAUUAGGAGGAACACCAGUUGCGAAGGCGGCUCUCUGGACUGUAACUGACACUGAGGCACGAAAGCGUGGGGAGCAAACAGGAUUAGAUACCCUGGUAGUCCACGCCGUAAACGAUGAGUACUAGCUGU